GCCAGUUUGGCUCAGUGGUUAGAGCGUUGGCCUGCAGACCCAAGGGUCCCGGGUUUGAUUCCUGGUCAGGGCA
rfam:Myotis brandtii contig315254, whole genome shotgun sequence.